rnacentral:rRNA from 1 species
GUGCAGCAGUCGAGAAUUUUGACAAUGGGGGAAACCCUGAUCGAGCGACGCCGCGUGGAGGAUGAAGGUCUUCGGAUUGUAAACUCCUGUCAUUGGGGAACAAGGUGCAUACGUUAACUGCGUGUGUAUUGAUAGUACCCGAAGAGGAAGGGACGGCUAACUCUGUGCCAGCAGCCGCGGUAAUACAGAGGUCCCAAGCGUUGUUCGGAUUCAUUGGGCGUAAAGGGUGCGUAGGCGGCGCGGUAAGUCGGGUGUGAAAUCUCGGAGCUUAACUCCGAAACUGCAUUCGAUACUGCCGUGCUUGAGGACUGGAGAGGAGACUGGAAUUUACGGUGUAGCGGUGAAAUGCGUAGAUAUCGUAAGGAAGACCAGUGGCGAAGGCGGGUCUCUGGACAGUUCCUGACGCUGAGGCACGAGGGCCAGGGGAGCAAACGGGAUUAGAUACCCGCGUAGU